rnacentral:rRNA from 1 species
UACGUAGGGUGCAAGCGUUGUCCGGAAUUAUUGGGCGUAAAGAGCUCGUAGGCGGUCUGUCACGUCGGCUGUGAAAACCCGAGGCUCAACCUCGGGCCUGCAGUCGAUACGGGCAAACUAGAGUACUGCAGGGGAGACUGGAAUUCCUGGUGUAGCGGUGAAAUGCGCAGAUAUCAGGAGGAACACCGGUGGCGAAGGCGGGUCUCUGGGCAGUAACUGACGGCUGAGGCGCGGAAAGCCAGGGGAGCAAACGGG